UCCUGGCUCAGGAUGAACGCUGGCGGCGUGCUUAACACAUGCAAGUCGAACGGAGUUAUCAAUGAAACCUAGUGAUUGAUAACUAGUGGCGGACGGGUGAGUAACGCGUGGGUAACCUGCCUUAUCCAGGGGGAUAACAGUGAGAAAUUACUGCUAAUACCGCAUAAGCGCACGGUAUCGCAUGAUACAGUGUGAAAAGAUUUAUCGGGAUAAGAUGGACCCGCGUCUGAUUAGCUGGUUGGUGAGGUAACGGCCCACCAAGGCGACGAUCAGUAGCCGGCCUGAGAGGGUGAACGGCCACAUUGGGACUGAGACACGGCCCAAACUCCUACGGGAGGCAGCAGUGGGGAAUAUUGCACAAUGGGGGAAACCCUGAUGCAAGCGACGCCGCGUGAGUGAAGAAGUAUUUCGGUAUGUAAAGCUCUAUCAGCAGGGAAGAAAAUGACGGUACCUGACUAAGAAGCCCCGGCUAACUACGUGCCAGCAGCGGC
rnacentral:rRNA from 1 species